rnacentral:rRNA from 1 species
AUUGAACGCUGGCGGCAGGCCUAACACAUGCAAGUAGAACGAGUGGCGGACGGGUGAGUAAUGUCUGGGAAACUGCCUGAUGGAGGGGGAUAACUACUGGAAACGGGAGCUAAUACCGCAUACCAUCAGAUGUGCCCAGAUGGGAUUAGCUAGUUGGUGGGGUAACGGAUCACCAAGGCGACGAUCCCUAGCUGGUCUGAGAGGAUGACCAGCAACACUGGAACAUGAACACGGACCAGACUCCUAAGGAAGGCAGCGGGGGGGAGAAUUGGACAAUGGACGAAAGCCUGAUCCAGCCAUGCCGCGUGUGUCAAGAAGGUCUUCUGAUUGGAAAGCACGUUAAGUUGGGAGGCGUUACCAACAGAAUAAGCACCGGCGAAAUUCGUGCCAGCAGCCGCGGUAAUUC